rnacentral:ncRNA from 1 species
CACCGGAAUACAGCAACAGGUGCCCGAUCCGCGUCAGCGUAUCGGGUUAAACGGGAACAGGGUGCGCGGUAUUGCCGCAAAGCCCUGGCUGCCCCCGCAACGGUAAGCAAGUGCAGGUACAUCACGGUCGUUCUCACCGAACGGCCAGCCACUGGAUCGCCACGUGGCGUCGCAAGACGCGCGCGAACGGUCCGGGAAGGCGAUGCGCCCGGCCUCUGUCCGCAGAGUCCGACUUGCCAGCCCGGAGACCGGCCUGUUGAACAACGCCCGC